ACACUGGGCUCUCAACGUGGUGUGGAAGGUAGCCUGUUACAGUGCUGGAUUCAUAAAAGGGCCUUUAUGGUUUGUGAAAGAAUAUCUGUGUGCUUAGGGAGGAAACUUUUUGAUCUGCAGAAAAGCCAGAAGACAUCUAGGACAUCCAUAAAAAUUCAUCAGAGAGCAUUUUACUACUGAGCUGCAAAGGUGUCUGAUGAUUUGUGAGCCUCAAGUGACUACUCUGUGGAAUCAUCUGUCCUUGCCUUUGAAUUAGCUUUCCCUAGGCCAUGAGUCAACAUUAGUAGUUUAUACAUCCAAAUUGAUGACAAGAGCACCUCAAAGGCAGCAGCCUCAAGGAGCAGCCAUGGCCCCAGACUUGUCGCACGGAUGCAGAAAACUUAAUGGAGGAGGCUGAGGUUGUGGAAAAUGCACUAGAAUCAACAAACAUGGGGACUAAUUCAACUCGGAUAUCAUGUCUUCAGAGAAGUUUCUCCUGCCCUCCUCUCCCUGUAGAAUUAAGUAUUCUUCCACUGUGCCACCCUCUAACUUGUGCUCAUAUCUUCCUCUAUUGUAGUUAUGUGUUCACAUCCCUGUUGUUUUUGUACCGGCUUCUCCCAAAGGGAGACAUUUAGUCUUAUUCUUCUUGGUAACUUUAGCACAGACCUGGCAGAUUGUUGACACUCAACAAAUGUUUAUUGACUCAAAUGCAUUCAGUUGAACAUUGACCUUUGAUCAACUCUGGGAAAAGUCUGCAAAGCUAGUUAGGACAUUCAGAAAUUCAUUUCAUUUCAAUCCUAACUAAAUAAAUUAUUGAAGUCUCAGAA
rnacentral:lncRNA from 1 species